rnacentral:rRNA from 1 species
UACGUAGGGGUGCAAGCGUUAAUCGGAAUUACUGGGCGUAAAGCGUGCGCAGGCGGUGAUGUAAGACAGGUGUGAAAUCCCCGGGCUUAACCUGGGAACUGCAUUUGUGACUGCAUCGCUGGAGUGCGGCAGAGGGGGAUGGAAUUCCGCGUGUAGCAGUGAAAUGCGUAGAUAUGCGGAGGAACACCGAUGGCGAAGGCAAUCCCCUGGGCCUGCACUGACGCUCAUGCAUCGAAAGCGUGGGGAGCAAACAGG